CAGCAGCCGCGGUAAUACCGGCGGCCCGAGUGGCGGUCACUAUUAUUGGGCUUAAAGCGUCCGUAGCCGGGUUGGGAAGUCCUCCGGGAAAUCUGGCCGCUUAACGGUCCGAAUGCCGGAGGAUACUCCCAGCCUAGGGAGCGGGAGAGGCCGAGGGGAUUCCCGGGGUAGGGGGGAAAUCCUAUAAUCCCGGGAGGACCACCUGUGGCGAAGGCGCUCGGCUGGAACGCGUCCGACGGUGAGGGACGAAGGCCAGGGGAGCAAACCGGAUUAGAUACCCGGGUAGUCCUGGCUGUAAACGAUGCGGACUUUGUGUCGGACAAGCUAUGAGCUUGUCCGGUGCCGGAGGGAAACCGUUAAGUCCGCCGCCUGGGGAGUACGGCCGCAAGGCUGAAACUUAAAGGAAUUGGCGGG
rnacentral:rRNA from 1 species